GGCCCUGCUUUUGUGGGGUGCUCGAGUGGCGAACGGGUGAGUAACACGUGAGUAACCUGCCCUUGACUUUGGGAUAACUUCAGGAAACUGGGGCUAAUACCGGAUAGGAGCUCCUGCUGCAUGGUGGGGGUUGGAAAGUUUCGGCGGUUGGGGAUGGACUCGCGGCUUAUCAGCUUGUUGGUGGGGUAGUGGCUUACCAAGGCUUUGACGGGUAGCCGGCCUGAGAGGGUGACCGGCCACAUUGGGACUGAGAUACGGCCCAGACUCCUACGGGAGGCAGCAGUGGGGAAUAUUGCACAAUGGGCGGAAGCCUGAUGCAGCAACGCCGCGUGCGGGAUGACGGCCUUCGGGUUGUAAACCGCUUUCGCCUGUGACGAAGCGUGAGUGACGGUAAUGGGUAAAGAAGCACCGGCUAACUACGUGCCAGCAGCCGCGGUGAUACGUAGGGUGCGAGCGUUGUCCGGAUUUAUUGGGCGUAAAGGGCUCGUAGGUGGUUGAUCGCGUCGGAAGUGUAAUCUUGGGGCUUAACCCUGAGCGUGCUUUCGAUACGGGUUGACUUGAGGAAGGUAGGGGAGAAUGGAAUUCCUGGUGGAGCGGUGGAAUGCGCAGAUAUCAGGAGGAACACCAGUGGCGAAGGCGGUUCUCUGGGCCUUUCCUGACGCUGAGGAGCGAAAGCGUGGGGAGCGAACAGGCUUAGAUACCCUGGUAGUCCACGCUGUAAACGGUGGGUACUAGGUGUGGGGUCCAUUCCACGGGUUCC
rnacentral:rRNA from 1 species